AACAAUUAAAAAUUUGCACAAAAACAAUUAAAUCAUGAAAAAUAUCAAAAUUAAUCCAAAAAAUAAUUUUAAUUCAGAAAAUUAAAGAGGAAAAUAUUAGAUUUUUUUUGUGUGAAAGUCCCAUAUUUUUUGGAUAAAAAAUAAAAUUAAUAUGAAUUAAUCAAAAUAAAAGGAUUAAAUGAAAAAUCAGAAAAUAAAAUAUAAAUAAAAAAAACAAGGGUCAUUAGAUCUCCCUCAUUAAUUGAGGUAGCAGAUCUGAUGGCCAGCCGC
rnacentral:lncRNA from 1 species